UCUUUUUCGAUUCUAUUGUCGCCAUAAAGAAAAGCCUCCUUUUUCAAUUCUUUGUGAAAUUAAAAAAUAAGUACAUAUGAGAAAGGAUGGUGUAAUAUCAAUAUAAUUUGCAUAAUUAAAUGUUAAGAUGAGAACGACUAAACAUUCAGUGUCUCCAAACUGGAUAAGUCUGCAUGCACACAUAGUAAGUUAAAUCCAUGUUCUCAUGGACUCUUAAAGUAAACACAAUUGUAUGCUAAUGCAGACUACUUCCAAGUAUAUAGAAUAUCUAGAAUAUAUUUGUAUAAGUGCAGCCAAGGGGAUUAAGUUUGUAGUUUAGCACUUGCUAAUGCGUCGUCCUAGCCUGUGUUCCUUCCAGGUACAUGCAUUUAUUGGGUCCAAUAAUCACCCUGGUUAUCGAUAAACGAUUAGAAACAUUGGAUUUGGGGUAUUGCAAAAAUAGUUUAAAGUUCUCACCUUUGAUACUUGAAUAAAAUUGGAAGUGACAGUCAUGAUUGUUUUUUGUGCCAAACUUCCAUUUACCAUAUUUGCUAAAAUAUAUCCCCGUAGAGUGAUCCCUACCUUCUCACCACUGAAAGAAUUUGACCAUGUAAAAGUAAUGUAAAAAGUCAUACAUAAUUCUGAAAUUGCUUACAUAAUUGAAAUAACUUACAAUAGCAAAAGGACUUGCAUCUCGCAGAUGUUUGAAGUUUGCUCUCUGCUUGUCCGUCUGUUCUUCUGUACUUCCUCAAUUGGUUUCAUCAUGGUAAGCAACCCAAUCCAUUGAUCCAUGAUUAGUAACGAAUUCAUCAAUGCCAUAUACAGGAACCGUGCAAAUUAUCUAAAUUGGUGCAGGUGAUACAUGCUGGAGAUAAUUUGAUGCACAUAUUACUUACUGGAGGUGGUGUGAUUGCUUGACGGAGCCGAUAACAGUCGAGGAGAGUCAACAGAGGAAACUGGGGCACUUGCAACUAUUGGAGGAAGGUGAUGUCCAAGUGCCGAUCGCUGGAGGAAGACGAUGACGAAGGUGGGCUCUGAAGGUGGGAUCCGACUUGUGGGGCGUGCUGAAACUGACUUGAUGCUAGCUUGUCAGCUAGUUUCAUCGCCCUGGCACCAUUGCUAACGUGAUUGCCAGAGUUCAUAAAUCACAACAUUACCUUCUCGCGGUAUCGCCUCGCCCUGAUUGCUCAAGGUAGUAGCCGCCUGCCUGGGACAACAAAUCAAUCUAAAGUUAGACUUUGUUCCCUUGGUGUUUUGGCAGCAAAAUAUCAUCAACCUCUUGGUUGUGAUGCUUUAAUUGUAAGUUACACUGCAUAUGUAGAGGCAACCUUCCAUUAUUAAUCUAUAAUUAUAAUAGUAACUUUGCACAUA